UUGCUUUAAAAUUCUUGAAAUAUCUUUGAGGUAGAGAUCCCCCAAAUGCAUUCCUCGAUAUAUCUAAAACUUGCAACUUGGGAAACGAAAGGUAGCUUUGUGAAGGCAACGACAUGUUACCAUCAAAUUUGUUAGACUUCAAAACUAGCACUCGAAGCUGAGGAAGAGCUUCCAUCCAAAAUGGAAAUUUGUCUAGUAUUCUAUUAUUUCCGACAUCGAGGCCCUUAAGACUUUUGCAAUUGAUUAAGGAUUUAGGUAAGCUUCCUUGCAAUUUAUUACCACUCAAAUUGAUGGAGAUAAGACUACACCCUUUUAUGAAUAUUGAUGGAAUGAGGCCACUAAAGUGAUUUGCAUUUAAAUGAAAGAUGAGCAAAGAUUGGAAGUUUUGAAAGCACUGUGGAAUUGUCCCUUCCAAACUGUUAUUUGAGAGAAGAAGAAUAUCAAGGGAUGUCAAGUUGCACAUGGAGGAUGGAAGCUCACCAUUUAAUUUGUUGGAAGAGAGCGAUAAAGUAACCAAAUUUGUUAGAUUCCCAAUGGUGGAUGGUAUUAAACCUGAAAAUUGAAAAACUCUUCAUACAAAUCACUUUAAAGAUGUAGAGAACAAAUGCAUUUUAAAAAAAAAAUUAAAGAUGGAGCAAAUGUACUUGAAAACAAGAAUUGAUACUUGCAGAUGGAUGAUGGAAGCUCACCAUUCAAUUUGUUAGAAGAGAGGUCUAGGCACCACAAAUUUGAUAGAUUCCCAAUAGUGGAUGUUAUUGGACCUGAAAAUUAGAGAACCCUUGAUACAUAUCAUUUUAAAGAUGGAGCCGUAAAUUGUAUAAUAAAUAGUACACACGGGAUGACUCGUACAUACGGUAUAAUUGAGACUAUUCAAUUAUAUAAAUGACAUUGUAACCUUUUAAAAUGUUAUAAUGUCAUUUUCAAUCUUAUAGUGUUAUUUAAAAUAUUAUAGUAUCAUACCCAAUUUUAUAGUAUCAAUUAUAGGAAGUGUCAUUAAUAUUUCUAAAUAGUGUCAAUUAUACACAGUGUCAUUUAUACGUAGUGUCAUUUGUAUAACAUAAUAGUGAUAAUUACAAGUAAUGUCAUUUAUACGAUUUGAGUCAGGAUGCGGGUUUGGAUCAAUAUACAGGUCAUGAUUUGGGUACGGGUCAACCCGGGUGUACCCAUGACCACCUCGUACAUUAAACCUAAUUAAAAAGGCUUAAACUUUUGCAUUCAAUUUAUUUUAGUUGUAAAUUUAUCAUUAAAAAAUCCAUAAUUCUCAUUGAAUAACAAAUGAUUAAUUUUCUUGUGCUUAAAAAAUAAUCAUCUAAUUUCUAUUGUCCUCAUUCGCAUAUUUCUAGAAACUUUUUCUAGGUUAGUUGAAUUUUGAAACAAAAAAUCUAUAGAUAUUUGGAUAGAAACUCUUUCAAGUUAAAAAUGAUGCAGAGCACAAAUUCUAGGACUAUUUUUUGUGGAUGAGGAGCACAAAUUAUAGACUUUAAUUACCCAUUGGGAUGAAAUGUCUUAUUUGACAUAAUGACCAUCAGUACGAAAUAUUUUUGGAAAGACCAUGAAUAUAUUUUUGGGAAAAAUUCAAACAUCGAAAGAUUUAAUUUUGUAAAAAAAUUCAACUUGGUUCGAUAAUUAUCACUCUAUCUUUGAAAGUUUGUAUGCAAAACUAAAAUGUGAUGAAAGUGAUGUAUUUUACACCCAAUUAACCUUUUUUUAAAAAAAUAUCUAUUGUCUAGGGAUGUCAUGAUUUUAGGCAGGUGUGUGCGAUAUGCAGAAACAUAGCUUAGUGGGCUUCUUGGUAUUUUUAAGUAAUUUCAUAAUGGGAUGAAAUUUCCUUGAUUUCUAUUUGGCAUGAAUAUAUGAUAGAAUGAGAUAUAGGAAAAAUUCAAAAAUCAAAAGAUCUAAUUUCGUAAAAAAUGUCAACCCAUAUUUCCAAGUAAGAAUAAAUUCACGACAUAAGCAAGAAUAAUAGUAAUAACUAAUAAUAUUACUAUAUAUUGUAAAAAUUAAAUAACAUGACUUUGCUAAGUCAAUUAUAAUCUGAAAUAAUAAAUAAUAAUUAUUGACUGCUAAAAAAAAAAUCCUCAUCGCGGUUUCUCACCGUGAAAUAAAAUAAUAACUCUGCUUCAAGUAUUAUAUAACUCAAGGUCAUUGUCAUCUCCACGUGAGCUACAAAGUUCAUAUCCUCAUAAUUGGCCUUCACAUCCAUCAUUGCUUUAAAAUUCUUGAAAUAUCUUUGAGGUAGAGAUCCCCCAGAUGCAUUCCUCGAUAUAUCUAAAACUUGCAACUUGGGAAACGAAAGGUAGCUUUGUGAAGGCAACGACAUGUUACCAUCAAAUUUGUUAGACUUCAAAACUAGCACUCGAAGCUGAGGAAGAGCUUCCAUCCAAAAUGGAAAUUUGUCUAGUAUUCUAUUAUUUCCGACAUCGAGGCCCUUAAGACUUUUGCAAU
rnacentral:lncRNA from 1 species